rnacentral:lncRNA from 10 species
GUCAGCUCUUCAUCCUUUACAUCAUUAACCCCAGCUUUACCCUGGCUGUUGUGUGGAGAAUGAAGUGGAGAGAAGAGCAAGGAGGUACUGCCGUUAUCUAAGGGAGGAAUGAUGGCUUGCACAAGGGCGGUGGCAGCACAGAUGGAGGUAAGUGGAUGGAUGUGAACUAUAUUGAGGAGGAAAAGCUGGGAUUGGAGUUAGAUUGGAUGUGGAG